CCUACGGGUGGCAGCAGUGAGGAAUAUUGGUCAAUGGACGGAAGUCUGAUCCAGCGACGCCGCGUGAGUGAAGAAGUAUUUCGGUAUGUAAAGCACUAUCAGCAGGGAAGAAAGAAAUGACGGUACCUGACUAAGAAGCCCCGGCUAACUACGCGCCAGCAGCCGCGGUAAUACGUAGGGGGCAAGCGUUAUCCGGAUUUACUGGGGGGAAAGGGAGCGUAGACGGCGAUGCAAGUCUGAAGUGAAAGGCUGGGGCAAAACCCCCGGACUGCGUUGGAAACGGUAUGGCUGGAGUGCAGGAGAGGUAAGUUGAAUUCCUAGUGUAGCGGUGAAAUGCGUAGAUAUUAGGAGGAACACCAGUGGCGAAGGCGGCUUACUGGACUGUAACUGACGUUGAGGCUCGAAAGCGUGGGGAGCAAACAGGAUUAGAUACCCUUGUAGUC
rnacentral:rRNA from 1 species